GAUGAACGCUGGCGGCGUGCCUAAUACAUGCAAGUCGAGCGAACAGAUAAGGAGCUUGCUCCUUUGACGUUAGCGGCGGACGGGUGAGUAACACGUGGGUAACCUACCUAUAAGACUGGAAUAACUCCGGGAAACCGGGGCUAAUGCCGGAUAACAUUUAGAACCGCAUGGUUCUAAAGUGAAAGAUGGUUUUGCUAUCACUUAUAGAUGGACCCGCGCCGUAUUAGCUAGUUGGUAAGGUAACGGCUUACCAAGGCAACGAUACGUAGCCGACCUGAGAGGGGGCAGGGCCACACGGGAGCGGAGACGGGGCCAAGACUCAGGCGGGAGGCGGAAGUAGGGAAUCGGCCGGAGUGGGGGAAAGCCUGAGGGAGCAAGGCGGAGUGAGUGAUGAAGGUGUUCGGAUCGUAAAACUGUUUUAUUGGGGAAAAAAAAAUGUGUAAGGAAAGGUGCACGUCUUGACGGUACCUAAGAAGAAAGCCACGGCUAACUACGUG
rnacentral:rRNA from 1 species